GCCCCCGUAGAUCAGUGGUAGAUCAUCUUCAUCCUGUGGAGCUAUGUCCAGAGGAAUUUGAAGACGUCGUAGGUUCGAACCCUACUGAGGGCA